UCUCUGGUAGUAUAUCGGAUAGUACACCCGCCUGUCAUUAGUCAUUCCAAUAACGCGGGAGAGCGGGGUUCGACUCCCCGCCAGAGAG